rnacentral:rRNA from 1 species
UACGUAGGGGGCUAGCGUUGUCCGGAAUCAUUGGGCGUAAAGCGCGUGUAGGCGGUCCGGUAAGUCCGCUGUGAAAGUCGGGGGCUCAACCCUCGAAUGCCGGUGGAUACUGUCGGGCUAGAGUGCGGAAGAGGCGAGUGGAAUUCCUGGUGUAGCGGUGAAAUGCGCAGAUAUCAGGAGGAACACCGAUGGCGAAGGCAGCUCGCUGGGACGGUAUUGACGCUGAGACGCGAAAGCGUGGGGAGCAAACAGG